rnacentral:rRNA from 1 species
UACAGAGGUUUCAAGCGUUGUUCGGAUUCAUUGGGCGUAAAGGGUGCGUAGGUGGCUCGGUAAGUCGGGUGUGAAAUUUCGGAGCUUAACUCCGAAACUGCAUUCGAUACUGCCGUGCUUGAGGACUGGAGAGGAGACUGGAAUUUACGGUGUAGCAGUGAAAUGCGUAGAGAUCGUAAGGAAGACCAGUGGCGAAGGCGGGUCUCUGGACAGUUCCUGACACUGAGGCACGAAGGCCAGGGGAGCAAACGGG